AGAGUUUACAGCUAGCCUGUGCCACUUUGGAACUGGUUUUUCUGUUCAGGACUUGACAGAUAAAGUCUCCAGCUUCCAGGAGCUUCUGAAGGUUCACACCCUUCGAGAAACAAAUCAGAGGAUACAACAGGAGCUCUGAAAAGGCAGAAACCGGGAAUCCACUCCUAUUGUCCAGUCAGCACUUCACAGAGCGCCCGGAGCGCAGAAAGCAUGAACACUGAAGUAGCGGAUGGAGGAAGGUGGAGGAAGUUACCAUAGGUCAUCAUGCUCAGCUGAUUUCCCAGAGAAAUCUGCAAAAGGUGACUCUGAGGACAUCAGAUACCAAGAAACAGAAGGCCAGAAAAGCAGGAGUAUCCUGAGCAUGGUCAGGAUGACGUUUUGCCGCAGACCUUCCACACUGGUACAGAAAUCCCUUUUCCUGGCCUGGCAGGACGUUGAGAAGAAGCCAUUCUUCCUCACCUGCCCGGCCAGGCAACUCACGGGCUUCAGAAGAGCCCAAUGGCCCAAGACAGGAGGUCUCACCAAGCUGGGAAGUGGAGGGGACCCCAGAGCCAAAGCCUCAACUUUGACAACCAGGAUUCUGGGGAAACAGGCCCAGAAAGUAAGAGAAUCAUCUGGCUUGGAGACAUGAAGCUCCAGGAGGUAACAAGAGAGCCAGAAAGGUGAGGAUUGGGGACCACCUUCUCCAGCCCAACCACGCAGGCAGACCAGUGCCGACUGCGAGGCAGCCGGUGUCAGACAGAGAUUGUUCCUUCUAGGGGCUACCUGUGGAGAGUCCUACCCAGCCAGCCCACCAAAAGCAAUCUUCAAGGGAAGCUAAGCCCGAGGCCAGUACAACUUCUGGGGAACUCCCCACUCCUCUGAAAAGCCUCUGCCUGUCCCUUUAGCUGCUCCCCCAGCUCAAUACCACGGGCUGCCACACGGCCAGGACACGCGAGACCUCCUGAACCCUACUUUAGUCUUUCAGGGCAGCUCUCCCUGGUGGCUGUCCCUCUUCUCUUUAAUAAAUUGCUUAAUUCCUCAUGUCCUUUAA